AGCGUCUGGAAAGGCGCGCGAUACAGGGUGACAGCCCCGUACACAAAAAUGCACAUGCUGUGAGCUCGAUGAGUAGGGCGGGACACGUGGUAUCCUGUCUGAAUAUGGGGGGACCAUCCUCCAAGGCUAAAUACUCCUGACUGACCGAUAGUGAACCAGUACCGUGAGGGAAAGGCGAAAAGAACCCCGGCGAGGGGAGUGAAAAAGAACCUGAAACCGUGUACGUACAAGCAGUGGGAGCUCGC
rnacentral:rRNA from 1 species